AGUUUGAUUUUGGUUGCUGAUUUAAUAUCCUAUGACUACCCCUAAGUGUUGCAUCUUACGAUUCUUGCUGAUUGUAUCUUUUACGUACACUGAAAGCAUUUCCACCCAGGCAAAUUCCUUCUCUGUCCAAUCACACUCAGCCAAUAAAGCCAAUCUUCUAUUUUUUUUUCCCCUCCCACCGACUCCGCCAGGAAACCAAAUCCUUUGCGGUGGGGAUUUUCAAAGGCCAAAUCAUCACCGAGCAAGUCUUCCCUUACCCUUCAGUCCUCAACGAGGAGCAGACGCAAACUUUGCAGGAGCUGGUGGGCCCCGUCGCCCGCUUCUUCGAGGAGGUGAACAACCCGUCGCGGAAUGACGAGCUGGCCCAGGUGCAGGAGAAGACAAUGCAGGGCCUGAAGGAGAUGGGGGCCUUUGGUCUUCAGGUCCCCACCGCGUUUGGGGGUCUGGGGCUCACCAACACCCAGGUCAGUCCUGCCCACCCUUAGAGGGAGGGGGUGCCCCCUUUCCUCCCCCGAGGGGGGGUGCUCGGAGGCUGAACGAUCCUUGCACAUGGUCUCUCUCUCUUUCUCUC